UUAAAUUGAUUUGUUAAUUUACUCUGAAAGAAUAUAAUUUGUUAUAUGAUUAAGCUCUUAAAGUUCAAAUGCUUAUAUAAGUGUCUAUGACAUACAUUAUUCUAAAUAAGCUCUUUGAAACACCCUUUAUUGGCUUCUCCAAUUGUCAUCACCUGGUAAAUGUCUAAGUGUGUUUAUUGAUAUCCUUUUGCUUUAAUUGAAUGGUAGUUCCUUUGUGUAAAAUUUUCAAAAUGCUUCCUCGAUCUGGGGUACUUCAAUUGUCAUGAUUUGGUCA
rnacentral:lncRNA from 1 species